rnacentral:lncRNA from 13 species
GGUUAAGAUAGCAAGAUAAUAAGGUUAAGUAAUAUUUGCAAGUGUAAAGGAAAAGCAUAAUAAUACUAUCUGGAAUACUCUUUCCUUCUUUUAGGGAGUUGGAAAGUUUUUCUGAAGAAUCAAUUCAGUCAACGUUUUUAAGAAGCCCUUGCUGCAUAUCCAAGUGUGACACAGUUUGACAUUGCAAACCCAGAAAAUCUGAGACAGGUCUCAGCUUUUCCAUGGCAAGAGCCUUCAAUCAAAGCAUAGCUGAAAUCCGCCCUCUCUACAAAGUUUCCUCACUCCCCUGCCUGCCUUUGAGUCUACAUGAAAUAGUCAAGGAAAUUUUGAGCCAUCUACAACUUUUAACAUUGGAUAAAUUAAACUCCUGUGAACAAAAUUUUGAAGCAUAUUUGUUUCUCUCUGCAUGGUUUCUCCAGAAUUUGGAAACUAUUUAUCAGGAAUUCCAAAGAGCUUGGCUGGACAGUUCUUACUUCGAAGACUUUAACGUCCCUCACUACCUAGCAGUUGAUGCUGAUCACCAGCUGAGAACUCACCUGUGGUUCUCUGCUGGAGGCCUGACAUGACUCUCCAGGACAGUGAUCUCAGGUACUCAGACUCCUUACAUAGCAGCUAUCUUCCUUCACAGUAACCCAUGCAAGCAAAGAGAUCAUGAAGAAAUGACAUGGUCUAAUCUGACCUGUGCUCACAAGUUACACAGAGUAACUUUUACUUCAUUCUGCUGGUUACAACUGAGUCACUAAGGCUGGUCCAGGAUCAAUGUCUCUUUACAAAGGUGACGUUUUAGAAGAGAGCUGAAAGAAGAGCGGCAAAAUAUAGGUCAGUCUGGAGGAAAAGGAAUUCAGAAAAAGAUAGAAGGAGAGCAACAAAGAACAGUACUUAGAAUGUCUGUGUGCAUAAGAGGAAAUCAGAGUGCAGCAGGAAGCCCGGUCUUUAAAGGUUAUGUAAACUGAUGUAAACAAAGUAAGAUCAAAAUCAGAGGAAUACUUGAGAUGAAGACAUAUUAUGCCCAAAUUAAUGUUUUAAAUGUGUUCCUCUCCAGCAAUGAGGAAACCAGGGUGUGAGGAAACAAGAGUAUAUUCAGGGAGAUUUGUGAGGGUUUACUGCAAUCAUUCAGAUGAGAAAUGAUGAUGGCUUGAAUAAACUGAGUAUAGAGAAGGUGAUUAGAAUUAUU